AUGACAGUGAAUUUGGGUUUUUGCAAAGGGUUAAGGGUUUUCAAUUUCAGAGGAGGGAGGUCGAAUAUCACAGUGAUCCACUUGUUUGGAAGAACAAGUGGAGGGGGUUUGUUGUUCGUGGCAGAACAGAGGGAGAGGUGUAUUGAAGAUCUAAAAACGGCGAAGUACUUUUCUAUUUUUCCUACUGAUCUCUCUCUUCUCGUCUAUGAUCUCCAAUAUCAGUUCACUUGGUUUGAUAUCACAGCAGUUCCAUAG